GGUGUUUGUGUGCUGGUGUGUGUUCUGUUGUGAGUGCUGGUAUGUGUGUGCUGGUAUGUAUAUGUGCUGGUCUGUGUGUGCUGAUGUAUAUGCUGGUGUGUGUUCUGUUGUGUGUGCUGGUGUAUGUGUGCUGGUGUGUGUGCUGGUGUUUGUGCUGGUGUUUGUGUGCUGGUGUAUGUGUGUUGGUGUGUGUGUUGGUGUGUGUGCGUGCCAGUGUAUAUGUGUUGGUGUGUGUGCUGGUGUUUGUGUGUUGGUAUGUGUGCUGGUGUGUGUGCAUGCCAGUGUGUGUGUGUUGGUGUGUGUGCUGGUGUGUGUGUGUGCUGGUGUAUGUGUGCUGGUGUUUGUGUGUGUUUGUGUGUGUGUGCUGGUGUGUGUGUGUGUGUGUGCAUGCCAGUGUGUGUGUGUUGGUGUGUGCGGGCCGGUGUGUGUGUGUUGGUGUGUGUGUGCUGGUGUGUGUGUGUUGGUGUGUGUGUGCCGGUGUGUGUGUGCUGGUGUGUGUGUGCCGGUGUGUGUGUGUUGGUGUGUGUGCUGGUGUGUGUGUGUUGGUGUGUGUGUGCCGGUGUGUGUGUGUUGGUGUGUGUGCUGGUGUGUGUGUGUUGGUGUGUGUGUGCUGGUGUGUGUGUGCUGGUGUGUGUGUGUUGGUGUGUGUGUUUGUGUGUGUGCUGGUGUAUGUGUGUUGGUGUGUGUGUUGGUGUGUGUGUGCCGGUGUGUGUGUGUUGGUGUGUGUGCUGGUGUGUGUGCAUGCCAGUGUGUGUGUGUUGGUGUGUGUGCUGGUGUGUGUGUGUGCUGGUGUUUAUGUGUGUGUGUGUGUGUGUGUGUGUGUGUGCUGGUGUGUGUAUGUGUGUGUGUGUGUGCAUGCCAGUGUGUGUGUGUUGGUGUGUGCAUGCCAGUGUGUGUGUGUUGGUGUGUGUGUGCUGGUGUGUGUGUGUUGGUGUGUGUGUGCCGGUGUGUGUGUGUUGGUGUGUGUGCUGGUGUGUGUGUGUUGGUGUGUGUGUGUUGGUGUGUGUAUGCCGGUGUGUGUGUGUUGGUGUGUGUGCUGGUGCACGUGUGCUUGCUUACCUUUGUGCUGACACGGCACUGUGUCUUCCCCACGGCCCGGGGUGUCAGAGUUUCCUCUCUGUGCUUGCAGGGAUAGGGAGAAGCAAAAACUUCAA
rnacentral:lncRNA from 1 species